UACAGAGGUCUCAAGCGUUGUUCGGAUUCAUUGGGCGUAAAGGGUGCGUAGGUGGCGCCGUAAGUCAGGUGUGAAAUUUCGGAGCUUAACUCCGAAACUGCAUUUGAUACUGCGGUGCUUGAGGACUGGAGAGGAGACUGGAAUUUACGGUGUAGCAGUGAAAUGCGUAGAGAUCGUAAGGAAGACCAGUGGCGAAAGGC
rnacentral:rRNA from 1 species